rnacentral:piRNA from 1 species
GUGAGUGUUGACACUUUGGGUCUGAGUGAA